CUGCGAUCUUGGGGGUCUGAGGAAGGAGGACCCCUGUGAGGCGUUCAGAGGACUCCCAGUGAGAGAAUGGUCUGGGCGACCCUCUGAGAGGGGCGAUCUUGGGGGUAUGAGGAGGUGGGACCCCCGUGUGGUGGAUGCUCGCCCAGAGAACAAAUCCCAUCACAAACAUCCCAUCUCGCCCUUCAUUCUUAACACCGCGGCGAGUUCUCAACCUCUUCCCUUUAGCAAACGCCAAAACCACCUCAGGGUAAGAGGGAGGAAGUGGUGGAAGCAGAAGCUGUGGAUUGUGCCACCCAAGUGCCACUGUGCCCAGAGCCACCUGUCCCUGCCAGCCUCUGGCAGCAAGCCAGGUGAUCUGAUGGCUUAUUCUGGGAUGUCAAUACCUGCAUUGUUGGGAAUGGGAAGAAAUCCCAGCGUGCCAAAGCAGCUGGAUUAGUGCUGAGCUGCCUGGGAAUUCCAGCCUGAACACAGACGUUGUGCAAGGACCUGCAAAUCCCAGGGACCAGAUCUGGAAUGGCAACAAAGAUAUUCUCUUGGUGUGUUGUUUUAAACAUUUACAGAGGUGUAGAAGGGAUUUUUCCCUUUUAUCCAUCAUUUUCUUCUCCCAAAAUUGUUAAUUUUUUGAUUGAGGCAACAUCAAAUGUUUGUCACAUGGAGCAUCUCACACUCUCAGGGAAACCAUCCUCCAUCCUUCACCUGUUUGUUUCAGGA